UUUGCAUGGAAUGAAUCUUUGAUGUUUACUACUGUUGGUCUCUCUUCUCUGACCACAGAGGACUUAAAGCAAGGCUCCAAAGAUAUCCAUGGCACUUCACCAAAUAUGUGUGUUUCACGAUGAAGAAACUGUGGCUUUAUAAGCCCUGGAAUACAUAACCCUUAACACAGACUACUUCAUCUGGAUAUGUGCUGACUUGGAGCAGCUGAGAACCUCUCCCUUGUGUCCGGAUUUACUGCCCAUCUGGAAGACACUGAAGCUAGAGUUUAUACAGAACUGGGUCAUAACUUAAGCCACAUUAAAGAAGAGAUCAGAACAGUCAUAUAUAGAAUUCCUUUCAAGCUGCAUUUGCUAUUAAACUGAAAAUAGCUCCAAUUUCCAAAACAAAGGUGAACCUCAAAUGAAGCCAGCUCUGAGGUUGGUGAACGGGCUGUGAGUUACAUCAGCGCUUAGUCACUGGCAGCAAGUCCCCAUGGCAAGGGCAAAGCGUGAGUGUGGCUAUGCAUGAUUGGCAUACCUACGCUGCCUUAAUCUCAGCCAUCUGGAUGAAAAUCCCAUCAGGAGAGCCCGAGCUCGGCAGGGUUUCAGCAGGAGCCUCGCAGUCUGGCUGAGCCCAGCGCAGCUGCGUGCUGCAGGAGCUGCAGGUGGUAUCUCUGUGGCUGCCCAAGGAGGAUGGAAGCGGCUCCAUCGCACCUCUCAUCUGGGGCGCACGCACCACGGCUGCGGGGACACCGCGCAUCCUUCCCAGCGGGAAAGAGCCGCCACACACAGCCCUCUCCCUUGGCUUCCUUCGCGCCUCUUCUUCUGGCCUAGCAGUAAAAGCACAGCUUGCCAAAUUGCCAGACUUUAUCCAGAAAAAAAGGGCCACACAGCUUUUCAAAGGAAACUUUACCAGAACGUAAUAAGCGGAAAAUAAUUUUGUCUGAAAUUUCCCAGAAAUAGCCAGUCCGAGGAGGAAACCCAGCAUGGAGCAUUAAAUAAAGGAGUACUUUAGAAAUUAUGUGAGGCCUUAUGUGAUAAUAGCUCCUUGUAGUGCAGAGUUUGGCAAUUGUAAAAUAGGCAAUGACAUCAGUUCUGCCUAUAAUUUGCUAUUAUUAAAAAAAAAAAACACCAAAAAACCAAGACUUUCAAUUGGAUUAGCUGCAUAUUGUAUAUAAAAAAAUUCCAUAAUUAUAAUUUUUAUGACUUAUAAGACAUUACAUAUUACUGUCAAAAUCUGCCUUUCAUCACUGCUGCUUCUGUAGUCAUGCUAGUGACAUCUGAGUGCAGAACAUGGACAAUAUGUUCUUAAAAAUUGAGAUUUUGAUAGCCCAUGAAAAACUGCUAAUCUGCUGGUCUGGAAACCUUUGUUCUGAAAGCCGCUGGUCCUUCGCUGUAUCAUUCAGAUUACUAAAAUUGUCUGAUCAAGAAACUUCUAGAUUAUUUCUACUUUUAUCCCCCAUGCCUUCAAUUUUCCUGCAAAUUAAGCAUUCUAAAAGUUGUUUAUGUAUUAGCUUUUUAUUUACUCUGUUAAAUAGAAUUCGCCAUAUUAAAGAGAAUCAAUUUCUCCUGGUCCAGAGUACAAGGAUUACCAUAAAGGUUCCCAUCACUCUAGCCAUUUACUUGAAGCAGAAAGUUGCUGCUGCAAGCUUUCAUUUCCUACAUGCUUUCUUCAAGGAGAACCAUGACUGGCUUUCUAAGGAAGAAUGUUUUGUUCAGCUAAUGAAUAAAGCUUGCUCUGGAUCUAUUGCAA